rnacentral:rRNA from 1 species
GAUUUAUUGAUUGUCUUGUUUUUAAUUUGGUGUUAUUAUGUAAUUUAAUUGAAAUAUCAUUGUGGGUUGUUGUAUUUAUUUUGAUUUAAUUUUUAUACGAUAGUUUAUUUGUGCUGUAAAGGAUAGAUUAAUUUGUAAUGUUUUUGAGGAAGUUGAUUUUUUUUAUUGUACCUUGUGUAUCAGGAUUCAUUGAAUUUUAUUAUCUAUUUUUAUUUCCCGAUUUUGAAGGAGUUAAUUGUUUAUGUUAGUUGUUGUUUCAUCAACAUUGAUAAUGGAUUAUUAGUAAUGAAAUGUUAUUCGUCUUUAGUGGUUUCUGGUUUUUCAGGAAAUGAAUUUAAUUCAUGUGUCUUAUUUAAUUUCUAUUAUUGUUCUAUUUAUUUUUAUUUGAUACUAAGGUUAAGGGGGAUUAGCUCUUUAUUUUACUUGUUAUAAUUGUUUAUUUGGAUUUGGUUUUGUGGAUUUUAUGGUGAUUUUCAAUUUGAUUAUGUUAAAAUUUUACUUGCUCUUAUUUUUGAUUUAUUUUAAUUUAAUUAGUUUAUUGAAAUGUUUUUUUUACUUUGUUGUGAAUAGUAAUUAUUGUGGAAUUAGUAAAUUUUCUUAUUAUUUUGUUUUAUAUAAAUAAUGAGUGUUAAUUAUCCUUUAGGAAUUAGGCAAAAUUUUAUGUCCGCCUGUUUAACAAAAACAUCUUUUCUUGUUAGUUUUUGAAGUAUGGUCUGCCCACUGACUUAUAAGGUUGAAGGGCCGCGGUAUUUUGACCGUGCAAAGGUAGCAUAAUCAUUAGUUCUUUAAUUGUGAUCUGGUAUGAAUGGCUUGACGAGGCAUAGGCUGUCUUGGGGUUAAUUUUUAUUGAAUUUGGGUUUUGAGUUAAAAUUCUUAGAUGUUUUUAUGGGACGAGAAGACCCUAUAGAGUUUAACAUUUAUUCAUAUUAUUAAUUUUUUGUUUGUUUUUUUCUUUUAUUGUGGUAGGUGUUUUGUUGGGGUGAUGGGAGGAAUUAUUUUAACUCCUCUUUGGUUAGUUGGUAUACUUAUGCGUAUUACAUUUGAUCCAUUUAUUUUGAUUAUAAGAUUAAAUUACCUUAGGGAUAACAGCGUUAUCUUCCUUGAGAGUUCUUAUUGGCGGGGAGGUUUGCGACCUCGAUGUUGGAUUAAGAUGAAUUUUUGGUGUAGGAGCUGAAAUUUGAUUAGGUCUGUUCGACCUUUAAAAUCUUACAUGAUCUGAGUUCAGACCGGCGUGAGCCAGGUUGGUUUCUAUCUAUAAUAAAUUUUUGUGCCUUAGUACGAGAGGACCGGGUAUUUGGAAUAAUUUUGUUUUUAUUGAUUUUUAUUAAUAUAGUUACUAUUUUGGCAGAUAAGUGCAU